CUCGAGCCUGUGUUCGUUACAGCAUGAUGUUGUUGCGGCGAGCAUAGAGGGAUCCAGCAGCAAUGGUGACCUGCCUUUGCAGGCUUCUGAGAUUGAUCUAACAUGUGAGAUGGAGGAGGAAGUAGCUUCCUUGGAGUCUGAUG